rnacentral:rRNA from 1 species
UGGUGGGGGAUAACGUUCGGAAACGGACGCUAAUACCGCAUACGUCCUACGGGAGAAAGCGGGGGGAUCUUCGGACCUCGCGCCAUUAGAUGAGCCUAGGUCGGAUUAGCUAGUUGGUGAGGUAAUGGCUCACCAAGGCGACGAUCCGUAACUGGUCUGANAGGAUGAUCAGUCACACUGGAACUGAGACACGGUCCAGACUCCUACGGGAGGCAGCAGUGGGGAAUAUUGGACAAUGGGCGAAAGCCUGAUCCAGCCAUGCCGCGUGUGUGAAGAAGGUCUUCGGAUUGUAAAGCACUUUAAGUUGGGAGGAAGGGUAGUAACCUAAUACGUUGCUACUUUGACGUUACCGACAGAAUAAGCACCGGCUAACUUCGUG